rnacentral:rRNA from 1 species
GAUGAACGCUGGCGGCGUGCCUAAUACAUGCAAGUCGAGCGAACAGACGAGGAGCUUGCUCCUCUGUCGUUAGCGGCGGGCGGGUGUGAAACAUGUGUAUAACCCACCUAUCUUACUGGUAUAAUCUCGGGAAACCGGAGCUAAUACCGUAGAAUAUACUGAAGCGUAGUGUUCAUUAGUGAGAGUCGGCUGUGCUGGCUGGUCUAGAUGCAUCCGAGCCGGAUUAGCUGGUUGGUAAGGUAACGGCUUACCAAGGCAACGAGGCGUAGCCGACCUGAGAGGGUGGUCGGCCACACUGGAACUGGGACGCGGUCCAGGGUCCUGCGGGAGGGAGCAGUAGGGAAUCUUACGCAAUGGGCGAGAGCCUGGCGGAGCAGGGGGGCGUGAGUGAUGACGGUCUUCGGUUCGUAAAGCUCUGUUAUUAGGGAAGAACAGCUGUGUAAGUAAACAUGCACGUCUUGACGGUACCGGAUAAGAAAGCCCCGGCUAACUACGUG